AGGGCGAACGCUGGCGGCGUGCUUAACACAUGCAAGUCGAGCGGAAAGGCCUUUCGGGGUACUCGAGCGGCGAACGGGUGAGUAACACGUGAGUAAUCUGCCCAUCGCUUCAGGAUAGCCAUCGGAAACGGUGAUUAAUACUGGAUAUGACAUUCCUUCGCAUGUUGGGGUGUGGAAAGUUUUUUCGGCGGUGGAUGUGCUCGCGGCCUAUCAGCUUGUUGGUGGGGUAAUGGCCUACCAAGGCUUUGACGGGUAGCCGGCCU
rnacentral:rRNA from 1 species